AGUGGGACUAAGUUCAGUGGGCCAGUUUCUGGUCUGUAGCCAAGAACAGAGGUCCUGUAGUUUGCCACCUGAAUGAAAGCCUGCC
rnacentral:pre_miRNA from 1 species